UAAUUGUUCAUAAUUUCUCAUCUUGCAUAUAUCCUUAGUCCUCAAUUCUUUUGUGAAGUAUGUGUUGGGCAAAUACAUAUGAACUGAAAAGCGUCUGCCAGAUUUGGGGGCAUGCAUCUUCUUGGAGACCUUUACCAAAGGAGUUCCAGGAGUGGUCCGGGGCAGUGGUGAGCCAGGAAGGCAGGCUGCAGUGCUUUGCAGAGGGAAGGAACAGCCGGGAAGAGGAGAGAACGUAGGUCUCUUUCUAAACAGGGAAGAGGAGAGAACAUGCGUUUCUUUAUAAACCCUUGGCUAUGAAAAGUUGACAGGACAGAAGACUCUGGCUGGAGUCAGGUUGCCAUUGACAGGAAGGUGCUGAAAGAGAAGGGGGUGUUGGAGACCUGAAGGAAACUCGACUGAUGGCGCUUAAGGAGGAGGGAGCGUGGAUCCAGAGGGAUGUGCGAAAGGAGUUGAAGGCAGAUAUGCAGGCAGAUAUGCAGACAGACUAGUGUUUGGCCCAACAGCUGGGUGCCAUAGCCCGGCCCAGUGGAUCCAUGAAAGUCACGACCACAGCGGUCUUCAUCUCAAGCAUGGAAACUGGGCCAGAGAAGGACAAACUGAGGCAGAAACUUGUCUCCACAGCCCAGAACAACGCUGGACAUCUCUGGGGCGUGUUGGACCAGGUACUGAUGCAGCUGGAGACACAGACUUAGGCUGGGGGCCAAGAAGCCCUUCCUGGCUGGAGUUUCCAACAGCGGGACUGGCCGUGGGACGCCGUGGGUUCAUGGUCCUUGGAGGUGAGGCACCAGAGCUGUGCAGGAGAUUCCAGCUUUUGCUGAGAAGGAGGCCAGGGACCAGGAUGAAGCCCCCCACCUCUCAGCCCAGAAGGUCUGUAACUUCUGAUAAGCCUAGAUACUAGAAAUGGUGCUCAGAAAAGUCCCUGCUCCCUCCUCCUCUCCGCACCCCUCCCCCAGCCCCAAGUGAGGCAUUACAGGCCAGCUGAACACGCACCUCCCUGAAAUGGAAACCGUCUGUGAGCCUUUCUCGCCCGUCCUCCCCCAGCCCCCUCCCCGCCCAGCCUCGCCUGGGUACUCUUUCUGGGAGGGGAGCCUGUGCCUCAGCCUCUUUUCACACCCCACCUCAUCCUCCACACCCAGCCCAGCAAAGCCUAGGGGCCCAAGGGAUCCACCAUCAUCCUGGACAAGUCAUGGGUCACCAGCCGCCUCUCUUCUGUGCCUACACCCGUUAAUCAUCUUUUCCUGGUGAUUUGCAUGGCAACCUCUUUCACUUGGCCGCUCAGGGGAGUUUGCUGGUUUCAUCGCCUCAAUACCCUUGGCCUCCUGGGUCACUCUGGAUUUCCCUGCCUCCCCUCAACAACCUGGCUCGGAGGCCUGCCUGUCUGUGCUCCAGGAGGUCCUCGUCUUUUCACAAGCCUUCCCUUCCCUUCAUGGACGCAGCACCAUCUUGCCAGGUGUGGGGAGAUGCUGGCCGUGGCGGGAACCUUGAAGUUCUGCGGAAUGUCAAAGCUCAAAGGGCCUAAAGGAUUGUCUAGUCCACCCUGGUCCCCCAGCUUCACCCUAUUUCACAGAUGAGGAAACUGAGGCCAAAACAGUGACAAGUCUUUCUCAUGGUCACACGUCAAGUCAGAGGCAGAGCCAGGCCUAGGCCUUGGGGGCCCUCCCCCUCGGGCCCCUCUGUCUCCCUCUGCCACACUUUGUCAACAGUUUCUCUGAGACCUUCAACAGCUUAGGAGUGAGUGGAAAAUGUGUUUAGUGUUUGAAAAUCGAGUCUUGACCACCUCGUUCCCUUCAGGCACCCUCCGCUCAGAUGGCAGCUACUUGCAAGAAGCUCUGGGCACAGCCAUGAGCUGGGCUGUGGCCUGGCAGCCAGAAGGCCAGACAGACAAGAGGCCUCCCUCCCGGCCAGGAGCCCUUUUAGCCCAGUCACCUGGCACCUCCAAAGUAACACCUCUCCACAGAGUCAUCACAAGGAGCCAGGGAGCAAAUAACACGAAAAUACAGGAACCAGACCUGGGCAGGAAGGAAGUGGGGAGCAGCGACGAUCCAGGGAACAGGAGAAGACACCUGAACAUCUCCAGUUCCUGGGUCAUCAGGCCGACGCACGUCCCGACACUUGCUGUACAAUAUUGUCUCGACAUUCCCCCAACAAAGAAACUGUCAAGAUCAGAAAGUUGCCAUUCUACAACUUGGAGGACCUUCAGAAAUUAUCAAGUCUAUAACCCUCUAUGGUACAUGUGGGGAAACUGAGGCCCAGAGAAAGCCCCAGAUCCCUUAGUGAGAUAGGGGCAGAGCCAGGCCUGGCACCCAGGCCCCUGCCUCCCCGCGCGGGACUCUCUCCGCUGCAGGAAGUGGGGACGGGGGCAGGGUUUGGAGGAGGGUGAAGCGCCGACGUCAAUGGCUGGGGAUUGAGCUUUUCCGAGAGCCCUGGAGGCUGUGAGACAGAAACCCCACAGAGGGAAGCUGGGGCGGCUCUGUGACAACAGACUCCUGAGGUGCUGUGGAGAAAACAGUGCGGUUGUGAUGAGGAAAGAGGACUGUGAAAGUGAAAUUUGCAAUUUGUGAGGGGGAAACUGAGAAUGUGUUCUCCGUCCCAUGCAAAUUAUCUGUGGCCUUCUGUCCUGCACCUGCAGCAGCUCACAACACUCACAACACACAACCCCGGGAUCCGACGGCCUGGUUCCCACGGUCCAUGCUCCGGAGAACGGGAGCAGGAAAGGCCUCGCUCAUCCGGGAGGGACAUGCAGGAAUGUCCCCGCUCCAUCUGUAGGACCUCUGCUGGGCUGAGAGGGGGCCCCCUUUGCACCUGGCUGAGGUGACCCCGUUCGUUCCGGCCGACCCUCCGAGGGACAGCACUCAGGGCCUGCCCUGUCAACUCUAGAUGUCCUGUCCUGCUCCUCUCCUGCCACUCCCAGUUUUGCUCCAGCCCCGGGCGACCCCACAUUUCCACUCCUGUGAGAGUCUGCUCGGCCUGUGUCUCCUGCUGGAAAGGGCUCCUUCCUCCGCUUCCCCAGCCAUGUCAGCCUGGUCACGGGUUCUCUGGGCAACCUUCCCUUCUGCUCCAGGCUUCAUCUGUGUCCCAAGCUCCGCGGCUUCCUCAUCCCAGCCCGUCUCUGCUGGAUUCUGGUGUCUGUUUUCACUCUCUCUCCCGCGGUAGAGUGGGAGCCCCUCGAGGGCAGGUACUGUGUCAGAUUCAUCUUUGUAUCCCAAAAUCCAAGCACCUUGCUCGACCUCCAUUCGAGGCCGGGGAGCAAACAUCCCGUGUGCGUGCUGCCGCCGUCCAGUCAGAGCCCAGGGCAGACGCUGCUGAUCAGUCCUGGCGGCCUUGCCCCUGGUGCUCAGACGGCUCCACCCGCAGCACGGGGGUCCAGGUAGGCACCGCCUGGCAACCAAGACUGGCUCUCCCGAUGACACUAGUGACUGUCCCUGGGAUGGUGCUUAAUGAAUGUGUGACUCACGUCUCAGCUGGGGGCUGCUGGCCCCUCAGAGAUGUGGCUCCAAGCCCAUGAUCUGUGCUCUCCGUGGUUGCUGAGAGGCCAGGCUGACUUCCUCACGCUGCCUCGGCCUCCGUCCUGAAGCAGUCCAGGCAGGAAGCACAGACCCCUCCUCAGUCCACACACACACACACGUACACACAUGUGCUCACACCUAUAUACGUAGUCACACCCCCAUGCUCACACUUACGUCUCACGCAUGCACACAGUUACACACACCAAUACACUCCCAUUAAACAUUUCAUGCGUGUCAGGAACUUCGCUGGCUAUUUUGGGAGACGUUACAUCACACAGAGCACAGCUUCCCACUGUCCCAGCGGGUCCCUCCACACGCUCUCUCUGUUCCUCCCCAUCUCUCCCCUCGUUCCUCCAGAAUUGCCCCACCCCAGUGCCCAAUUGUUGUCCCUGUGUCUUGUAGAGCCGUUCUGCUACCCGCUCUGGAGUGGGGACAGUCUACACGUGUACCUGCAGAUUCCAACUCACCAGACACAACUCAAUGGCAACACCGUCUUUAGGCGGUUACUUGGUGCCCGGCCCAGUGCCAGCAUUGCACAUCAGAGGUGGUACUGCCCCCAAAGUGCUCCCAGCCUACUGGCAAGAACAGAUGCACAAACAAGUAGAGAGGAGUGAAGCCACAAUCUGUGCCAUCCCUGGGGCAGAGGAGCAACUUAACUGCUGUGCUGUGAAGGACGAGCAAAUUCCAGGUGAACACGAUGGGGGAGGUCACCCCACAGGAAGACAGCUUGUGCAGAGGCACAGCAGGGAAAGAGCGGGUGGCCUUCAUGCUGGGGGUAGGGCUGAGGGUGGAGGAGCACCAUGGGAG
ensembl:lncRNA